CCAAAGGCUCAGAUUAGUUAGUACUUCUUAAUAUUCCAAUUUAGAUCUAUGGAGUAACAGGAUGGAGUAUUAAGAGACAAGGGUAAAAAUGUAAUCUAGUAGUCCGAAGAAACAGAACGACGUCGGCAGUUUUCGUUUUCUUUUCCCAUUUCUCCUCUUCUCUCCGUCGAUCCUCUUCGCAGAGCUCCACGACCUCCCUCCGCUGCCGCAGCCUGCCGUAGACCACCUCCCAAAGCUCCCUUCGCUGACGCCCACCCCAACUGACCGCUCACUGCCUCCCUCCCUCCGCCCACGGAAUAUUUCUCCAAGUCUCCCGCCCCCUUCCACGGUUCCACCUCGCCUCAUCGGCACAUGGCGGCGCGGUGGUGGCCGGCGAACGCGUCAUUGUACAGUGAGAUGCAGAAGAGCUGCCUCAUGCUCGCGCUGCCCCUCUCCCCUCCGUCCUCUGCUCCAAGCUCGUGGAGCACUUCCCCAACUACUUCGGGCAGCUGUCGGCACCUGCGGUGCUGUCGGCCGAGCCUGUGGCAGCCAAGCCACGCAAGAUCGGCGUUGUGCUAUCUGGCGGUCAGCCUCAAUAAAUAUGUCAGUCACAGGUUUCCUGCCUUCCAUACGAGCCUUCAUUUUUCAUGCCAGAAGAUGUGGAGGUGUUGAAUGAGCCAAAGGAAAGAAAGAAAGGAAAAAAGAAACAAGCCAUACAGGCUUGCAGCAUAUUAUGGUAGGUAAGCUCUUGGGGAGAAUGAGGAUCUGUAAGCACAUCAGCUGAAGGGUUCCGCAGCCUCAGGGUCCUCCUGGAAGGUCAAUGAUAGCAGUGUGCCAUUGUCGCCGCCAUCCUUAUUCUGUGCUACAUUGUUGAGUGUUAAUUGUAUGUAGUGAUUUUGACGUUCUGCUGCUGUUCAUCAUCCAUUGUCGACAUUUGGCAGAAUGCUUGGCCUCCUGCGCCAGAAGCUCACCUCGAUUAUACCAUCUGAAAUUCUCAUCUA